GACGAACGCUGGCGGCGUGCCUAAUACAUGCAAGUCGAGCGAAGUGUUUCUGGUGCUUGCACUCGAAAAACUUAGCGGCGCACGGGUGAGUAACACGUAAAAAACCUGCCUCAUAGACUGGGACCACUAUUGGAAACGAUAGCUAAUACCGGAUAACAGUAUUUCUCGCAUGAGAGAUAUUUAAAAGUUGGUUAUGCUAACACUAUGAGAUGGCUUUGCGGUGCAUUAGCUAGUUGGUGGGGUAAAGGCCCACCAAGGCGACGAUGCAUAGCCGACCUGAGAGGGUGAUCGGCCACACUGGAACUGAGACACGGUCCAGACUCCUACGGGAGGCAGCAGUAGGGAAUCUUCCGCAAUGGGCGAAAGCCUGACGGAGCAACGCCGCGUGAGUGAAGAAGGAUUUCGGUUCGUAAAGCUCUGUUGUUAGGGAAGAAUGGAUAUGUAGUAACUAUACAUGUAAGAGACGGUACCUAACCAGAAAGCCACGGCUAACUACGUG
rnacentral:rRNA from 1 species